GUGGAUUAGAUACCCUGGUAGUCCUGGCAGUAAACGGUGCACGUUUGGUGUGGGCGGAUUCGACCCCGUCUGUGCCGGAGCUAACGCGUUAAACGUGCCGCCUGGGGAGUACGGUCGCAAGAUUAAAACUCAAAGAAAUUGACGGGGGCCCGCACAAGCGGUGGAGUAUGUGGCUUAAUUCGAUGCAACGCGAAGAACCUUACCAGGCCUUGACAUGCAUUGUGUCGGCGGUGAAAGCCGCCUAGUGUAGCAAUACACGCCUUGCACAGGUGCUGCAUGGCCGUCGCCAGCU
rnacentral:rRNA from 1 species